UUUGAGUAUUUUUUCUGCUUGAGUUGAUUUUGGAACAUAUCAUAAUCUCAUGAUUCUUGCUUUCUCUCUCAUACUACACUACACAUGAUGAUUUAUUAUACCUUUUGUUUUUGUUUAUUUUGUUAUAAUUGAACCAAGUUCAUAUUGUGUCUAGAUUCAAAAAAAAAGGGUUUAUAACUUUUGGAUGUGAUUAACAGCCCCAGAUGGUGAUGUAACUGCAUGUGUUCCUAUCACAAAACAACCAGCUUAUGAUCGUCCUUUCCUCAAAAAUCACAAGAUUCAGUUUCAUCUUUAGGUGAAGCCUAACUACUAUCCAGAGGGAUUUUUUGAUGACAACAAAGUGUCUUCUACAAAGUCAGGAAAAGAAAGACAUAAAUAUCCCUCAGUUAUGACAUCAGUAUGGUAAAUGUUUCGAAGGAACCAUUCCCAUGAGGAGGACAAAGGAAGUGAUAUCUUGAGAGCAAGUUCAUUCAAAGGAUAUGGCAAGAAGAAGGAAUGAGCUCUCCCGUUUCCUAAAUCUGCAGAACCUGACCUCAUUAACCAAAGAGGUCACCAGAUGAGCAAAGUUUUUUUUUUUUUGGUUUCUUGAUCUCAUUUGUAUUUUUGUUUCGGUUUCUUGAACUGUAGCAUGAGCAUGACAUAACUAAUGUGGACGUGGAUAAGAAAUAUGGAGCUAAAGCAACUACAAAUGUGUGGGAGCCAAAGAUAAAUAAGCAGAACGAGUUCAUCUUCUCGCAAAUAUGGCUUAAUAGUGACUUAUUCAGACAAUAUCUUAUUAGCAUAGAAGCUGGUUGGCAGGUAUACUCAGAUGUGAAUAUGAUUUUGUUUCUUAUGUCUUGUAUAAUGAUUUGUGUUUGCUUUACUACAAGUUAGCCGGAUCUGUAUGGUGACAAUAGCACAAGACUAUCACUUACUGGACUGUAAAUUUCUGAGAUUACCGUCUAAUCAAAUUCUUAUGGUCAUGUGCUUCUCUUCCCUAUAAGCUAACUGAGUGUACCUUCCAACCACCGUUUACUCAUCUCUAUUAAUAAACGGCUCACAUGGGGUUCUCUCAGUUCUUAUUUCUAUAUUCAAACACAUGUUUAUUUUCGGAUAUUGUUUGCUGUCUAUUUUUCACAUGUGCAACUGCAAAGUACUUCUUAACGUCCUCAUUGAAGUGCCUUUACAUGUUA